rnacentral:rRNA from 1 species
UACGGGGGGGGCAAGCGUUGUUCGGAAUUACUGGGCGUAAAGGGCUCGUAGGUGGCCAACUAAGUCAGACGUGAAAUCCCUCGGCUUAACCGGGGAACUGCGUCUGAUACUGGAUGGCUUGAGUUCGGGAGAGGGAUGCGGAAUUCCAGGUGUAGCGGUGAAAUGCGUAGAUAUCGGGAGGAACACCUGUGGCGAAGGCGGCCACCUGGACGACGACUGACGCUGAGACGCGAAAACGUGGGUAGCAAACAGG